AGGUAAUGAAGAUAAAUAUGCACCAAAUGUGAUGUAUUUGGGUCCAUCAUAAUCGUACGAUAUCUAUAAGAUGAUUUGAAUGCAUUUGAGCUU